UCAUUUUACAGAUGAGCCAACUGAAGUCCCA
rnacentral:piRNA from 1 species